rnacentral:rRNA from 1 species
GCGCGAUGACUUUACUGUGUCGGGAACCGUGAUAAGGGAACACCGAGUGCCAAGAUCUGUAGCAAGGGCCGGGCAAGACCGGUGCCAGCCGCCGCGGUAACACCGGCGGCCCGAGUGGUGACCGUUAUUAUUGGGUCUAAAGGGUCCGUAGCCGGUUUGGUCAGUCCUCCGGGAAAUCUGAUAGCUCAACUAUUAGACUUCGGGGGAUACUGCCAGGCCUGGAACCGGGAGAGGUAAGAGGUACUACAGGGGUAGGAGUGAAAUCUUGUAAUCCCUGUGAGACCACCUGUGGCGAAGGCGUCUUACCAGAACGGGUUCGACGGUGAGGGACGAAAGCUGGGGGCACGAACCGGAUUAGAUACCCGGGUAGUCCCAGCCGUAAACUAUGCUCGCUAGGUGUCAGGCAUGGCGCGACCGUGUCUGGUGCCGCAGGGAAGCCGUGAAGCGAGCCACCUGGGAAGUACGGCCGCAAGGCUGAAACUUAAAGGAAUUGGCGGGGGAGCGCACAACGGGUGGAGCCUGCGGUUUAAUUGGACUCAACGCCGGACAACUCACCGGGGACGACAGAAUAUGUAGGCCAGGCUGAAGACCUUGCCUGGAUCGCUGAGAAGAGGUGCAUGGCC